CGGGUGCGUAACGCGUAUGCAAUCUACCUUUUACAGAGGGACAGCCCAGAGAAAUUUGGAUUAAUACCUCAUAGUAUAACGACCUGGCAUCAGGAUGUUAUUAUAAAGGUUACGGUACAAGAUGAGUAUGAGUCCUAUUAGUUUGUUGGUAAGGUAACGGCUUACCAAGACUACGAUAGGUAGGGGCCCUGAGAGGGGGAUCCCCCACACUGGUACUGAGACACGGACCAGACUCCUACGGGAGGCAGCAGUGAGGAAUAUUGGACAAUGGGCGAGAGCCUGAUCCAGCCAUGCCGCGUGCAGGAAGACGGCCCUAUGGGUUGUAAACUGCUUUUAUACAGGAAGAAACCCUCCCUCGUGAGGGAGCUUGACGGUACUGUAAGAAUAAGGACCGGCUAACUCCGUGCCAGCAGCCGCGGUAAUACGGAGGGUCCAAGCGUUAUCCGGAAUCAUUGGGUUUAAAGGGUCCGUAGGCGGGAAUCUAAGUCAGUGGUGAAAUCUUGCAGCUCAACUGUAAAAUUGCCAUUGAUACUGGAUUUCUUGAAUUAGUGUGAAGUGAUUAGAAUGUGUAGUGUAGCGGUGAAAUGCAUAGAUAUUACACAGAAUACCAAUUGCGAAGGCAGAUCACUAACACUAUAUUGACGCUGAGGGACGAAAGCGUGGGGAGCGAACAGGAUUAGAUACCCUGGUAGUCCACGCAGUAAACGAUGGAUACUCGCUGUUGGAAAUAUCUUCAGUGGCUAAGCGAAAGUGAUAAGUAUCCCACCUGGGGAGUACGUUCGCAAGAAUGAAACUCAAAGGAAUUGACGGGGGCCCGCACAAGCGUUGGAGCAUGUGGUUUAAUUCGAUGAUACGCGAGGAACCUUACCAGGGCUUAAAUGCAGGUUGCAUGAUUUAGAGAUAGACUUUUCUUCGGACAAUUUACAAGGUGCUGCAUGGUUGUCGUCAGCUCGUGCCGUGAGGUGUCAGGUUAAGUCCUAUAACGAGCGCAACCCCUGUUGUUAGUUGCCAGCGAGUCAUGUCGGGAACUCUAACAAGACUGCCAGUGCAAACUGUGAGGAAGGUGGGGAUGACGUCAAAUCAUCACGGCCCUUACGUCCUGGGCUACACACGUGCUACAAUGGUAGGUACAGAGAGCAGCCACUGGGUGACCAGGAGCGAAUCUAUAUAACCUAUCACAGUUCGGAUCGGAGUCUGCAACUCGACUCCGUGAAGCUGGAAUCGCUAGUAAU
rnacentral:rRNA from 1 species